ensembl:snoRNA
AUCCUUUCGUGGUUCACAAGUGUGACAGUUGGGUUUGCAUGUCGGUUGUGUGAGAUGUUCACCCCUCAAAACUUAUUACAGUGUUGGCACAUUACCAAUCUGAAG